rnacentral:rRNA from 1 species
CAGCCGUAAACUAUGCUCGCUAGGUGUCAGGCAUGGCGCGACCGUGUCUGGUGCCGCAGGGAAGCCGUGAAGCGAGCCACCUGGGAAGUACGGCCGCAAGGCUGAAGCUUAAAGGAAUUGGCGGGGGAGCACAACAACGGGUGGAGCCUGCGGUUUAAUUGGACUCAACGCCGGACAACUCACCGGGGACGACAGCAAUAUGUAGGCCAGGCUGAAGACCUUGCCUGAAUCGCUGAGAGGAGGUGCAUGGCGUAGACGUCU